UUUACAUGAUGAAAAACCAACUUUUCAGUUCUGCUUCUGAACCAAAAAUUUCUGAAGAUAACCAAUUACCAAAGCUCAAAUUUCUGACCA
rnacentral:snoRNA from 1 species